GUCUAAAUGACCCAGCUCACUACCUGUCAGCUGUUUAUUUCUGUUAAAAUAGUUUUGAAUUUGAGUGUGGAUCGCUGACCCUGGAAAGAACAGGCUAAAGACUGUGCCCUGGCUGGAGGGGUGAGUUAUCUGCAAGAAACCACCCCAGCCCCAGAGUGACUGUUGACAAGGACACUGUGAUGCUCUGCCUGGCCAUGAGGAAGCACAUAGUGAGACGAACAGGGUAGAUACCAUUGGCUCGCUGACCCAGCCGGAGGUGGCGGAACCAUACCCCAGACCAGAAUCCAUGACUGUGGUUGUAGAUCCAGUUCCUGGGACCCAGCCAGAACCCAUGCAAGGAUCAGAUCAGGCAGAGCAGUCAGCAUCACAGCCUGCCCUUAGAACCACCCCCCCAGAGUCAGGAGCCAGCACCCAAGGAGCUCCAUGAAGCCUGCACCUGCAGCAGCAGCUAAACUGGUGCAAGGUCAACUGGAGCCUGAAACACCACCUAGCGCACCAGCGUAGAGCAGUUCACAGUCAAUGGAGACACCCACAUUAUCUGCAUCGCUUCGUGUGACCCAGCCGAAGUUCACAGCAUAACGAGGAACUAACGUCUUAUGGAGCAGUUCCAGGGAGAGCAGGAAGCGGAUGACAGCCUCAAGGGAGUUUGGAUGGCAGCCCAGAGUAACCUACCCACCUCUCAUCUCUUCUAUAACUGUGGCUCUUUGGCAAUGUAUAUUGGUACAUUCUGGCUCCUUCUCAGGCUCACGUUGUCCAUCUUGGUGUAGAUUAUAACAUGCAAACACUUUGCCCAGGAUUCUAACACCCUAGUGCUAUUUACUUAAACACACAGAAAAUACACAGAUUGGAACCAAAAUUGUAAACCCGAUAUGCAAUUCCCUGUCUGUUUCCUCAACACACCAAACCAUUCUAUGGGCCUGGAUUAGGGUCACUUGGUGUCAUCCAACAUCCUUCUGUUGCAAUGCAUCACUUAUAUGCACAAAAACCCAGCCUUCUCCCCCGGCUCAGAUAACCUUACCUUGGCCAGUUUAUCCCCUGCCUUCCUCUGCCCCAACUGUCCUGUGGCUCUUCCCCCAGUGAUUUCUUUUAGAACCUUUUGUUCUCUGUCAACCUUCAGGAACUUUCCACUCCUAACCCCCAUUCUCCUUAACAUCAACUUGGCCAAACUGCUUCCCUACUUAGCAUAAGUAUGUUUCCCAUUGUCCGCAGCCUAGUGAGUACCUGCUGUAGGUCCUGUCCAUCAGGAUGGAUACGCAUAGAAAGAGGUUUCCUAUGAUUAGGAAAUUUCAUGACGACAACUUCAUAAUAUCAACUAGAAUUCACAAGUCUUACAGACAGACACCCCACCCCCACCCCCCGACAUGCACACAAACAAAUAAAGACAUACAAAUCAGGCUUCUGUACACUCAAGUCAGCAAUUCUAUCCCUCAGUUUUCUGACCAACUGGUGUCACCCCUCCACACCCUCCAAAUCAGGCUCGUGUGCUCCUUACCACCAACAACCAAUUUGGUGUACAGAAUGUAUUAAACUUUCAGAAUUAACAUGAACAAUGCCUACAAAUUACCUAAAGCCAACAUUUAAAAUGAUAGUAAUAAACCUGCUGGUGGCAUCAGAUCUAGUGAUCUACCUCUCUACCAACUUCUAGUGGUGGAUAGUAAUUCUGAAAAUACUACUUGGCACUGAAAGGAUGGGGGCAGGGAAUCUAACAGGACCAGAACUGAGACAGAUGCAAGGCCAUGCAAGUUCAUAAUUAUACAGCCCGAAAAUAACACUAAGGUUUAAUAACGCUAAAAGAUACUCAUAUUUUGGAUUUAUAAUGCUGAAAGAUGUUAUUCUUUAUUCUUUGGCACCAAGAAAUGCAUUUUUCCACAGUAUUUGCUCAAUUCUUAACCAUCUACCUGUGACGUGUGUUAAAAUGACCGUUUGACAUGUAGCAACUCGCAAUAGCUCCACUCUACAUGAAUUUCUGCUUGUGACCUUGAUGUAUAUUAGAGUUAGGUGUCACUAGCAUUGCAGCUCUUGCCGCUGG